GACAAAAUAAAUACAAUUAACUAGAGGUAACAUAAUACAAAUUUUAAAUUGAACUUCAUCAAAAUAAGUAUAAAAUAAAAAUUGACAAGUCUCAUAGAAGCACCCAUCAAAGUUUACGAUACUAAUACAAGGCACCUAUUUCAACUACACACCAAAGUUUCGCUACUUGACCAUGUAAAAACAACAGAACAUCAAAGUUAUUUUCAGAUUUUUCAUCAGCACAACUAAUCUGGAGACUCCUUCAACAGUUCAAUGUCCACAUCGCGUUAUUCUUUGUCUUCUCCAGACAUGCAAUUAUCUACCUGCCAUACAGAUUGCUGCGCAUGGAAGAGGAAUUUUCAUGAAUUAACUUAAGCAGUGCAUUCCGCGCAACCCCCUGCAUUGCCGGAACAAAGAACAAAUCAUUAUCACUACAAAACAUACCGGAACAAAGGCUGAGGGUCAAUUGACAAGUGAAGCAUCUAAAGUCUGGUCAAAAACCAAAAAAACCAAGAAAUAUCUAGUUACUGAUAUUUACAAUGAUACAUUUACAAACCAAGAAAACACUCAUAUACAGCUACUGACGCCUUGGUUAGUAGAGUAGAGGCACACAGUUUCUCUUGUUUGUCCAAAACUUUAACACAAUUGAUAUGACUAAGCUUAAAAGUCUAAAAUUUGAUCAUUGAAAUUAAAUCACAAUGCAAAGAAAAUAGAGCCAGAUGAGAAACAGGAAAUCUGGCUGUUUUUCAGCAAAAAUUUUCCUUCACUAUCUCUGUUUAAUUUGAAAACAUAUUUGGUGACAGUUCCUUGUUCCAUCAGAAGCAUAUAUCAAAGCAGCAAAAGAUUAAACAAAAUUAUAACGCAGACCAAGUUGCAAUUCUACACUUCUUCCGAANUAUACUUUAAAAUGCUUUUAUAUACAGAGGAAAGAAAAUGAAGUUUACGUUUUCGAUGCUCACUGCCUUAACUUAAUGCCACUUGACCUCAAAUUUAAUUCAGCAAUUUUCAUUAGAAAUCAUUAGUAUGCAAACUUUUCUCCAUAAAGCGCGAUGACAAGGCCUAUUAUUUGAGAAUAACCAAGUCAUACAUGAAACUAAAACAUCAGCGUCAUCAACAGCCAAUUCACAAUUUACCUGAAUAACCCAAUUCUGAGAAAAGAUUCCAGACAGAAUAGUCCAGCUCCAACACUUGCAUUACGAUUUGGCAGACUAAUCACCAUAUUCACAAUAAGCAGAACCCAUUUUUUAUUGAAAUUCUAAUGCAUAUUAAAGAAGAGUAAACCAUUAUCAUACAAGAGCAAACCAUUUCCGCUGUAAUAGGGAAUUCAGGAUAACUUCUUUAUAUUUUAUACACAAAAGAAGAGCGCUUUUCUGAUAUUAAUAUACAUGUACAAAGUACAUAGAACCUUUGUUAAAUAAAGUCAAAAUCAUUUAAGCAGGGAACAUCAGAGCAAGUUCUCUAUUAGAACAAUGUAUAGUAUUUAUGAGCUAGGAGAUCUCAAAAUGAAGCUCCAGUACAUUAACAAGAUUCCUGGCAGCACUACGACAGUACUGGCCAGUUACGACGCAAACAAAACUUGGGAUCAUUUUUUGAACAAAAAGACGCAAGCAAAAAUAACGAAAAGAUGUCAUUAACCAACACCAUAAUUACAAGUCAGUAUGAGCAACUUUUUCUACCACGUUAACAUGCCUACUUUAAUCUCAAGUUUCGUAGCUUAUAUUUCAGUUUGUCCUCUACAAAAAGAACAUAAACAAAUUACCAAAUUUAGUAUACAUUUCAAUUUGGAUUAUCAUUUUCAGAUGAAAUUUUCCUUUACAGGUUUAACUUAUCAUAGGAAUGUGACCUUUUAUUAUAAUUUACGAUGAUUACACUGUGCUUCAAAAUGUCUCUUACCACUUUCAUGCUACCAAUACAAACACAAAAGGAAUCAUCAGUGAAAAUGCCAAUGAUAUAAAUCCCCCAGCAGCUCCAGAUGACGGAGCUGCGUACUUCUGCUUCACAUGUGUAGCCCAUUUUGUGAAUACUUCCAUUGCAGCUAUCAUCGGUGGUAAAGUAGAGUUUUUGUCGCGUGUCAAUGUUAUAUUAAUUGUUGAGUUAAUCCUUGCUAUUAAUUUGAUUCACUUACCCAUCACCUCUCCAUUUCAUUUUCUAAACUCUCUCAGUCUUCACUAAUCAAUUGUUUAUAAACACACACACUGCUUAAAAUUUUUAUUGCUGCCUUCCAUAUGGGAAGGCACUCUUCUUGUUACAAGCAGAAGCUGAGGAAAGGACUUUAUCCCAUAAUUACACUACUAAUUACCAAACAAAAAGCAACAAUUCAUAAUCCACCUCAAAAAAACAAUCAAAACUCAAUAAAGCAAAUAUACAAACACAUAAAUUCGUAAUAUCGACAAUUCAUACAUAAUCAAAAUCAACAAUUAAUCAAAAUCAACAAUUCAAGCUGAUAAGGGGGAGGGGGAGGGAG
rnacentral:lncRNA from 1 species